rnacentral:rRNA from 1 species
CCUACGGGAGGCAGCAGUGAGGAAUAUUGGUCAAUGGACGCAAGUCUGAACCAGCCAUGCCGCGUGCAGGAUGACGGCUCUAUGAGUUGUAAACUGCUUUUGUACGAGGGUAAACCCCGAUACGUGUAUCGGGCUGAAAGUAUCGUACGAAUAAGGAUCGGCUAACUCCGUGCCAGCAGCCGCGGUAAUACGGAGGAUGCGAGCGUUAUCCGGAUUUAUUGGGUUUAAAGGGUGCGCAGGCGGAUUUUUAAGUCAGCGGUAAAAUCGUGGGGCUCAACCCCAUCCAGCCGUUGAAACUGGGGAUCUAGAGUGUGCGAGAGGUAUGCGGAAUGCGUGGUGUAGCGGUGAAAUGCAUAGAUAUCACGCAGAACCCCGAUUGCGAAGGCAGCAUACCGGUGCACAACUGACGCUCAGGCACGAAAGCGUGGGUAUCGAACAGGAUUAGAUACCCUAGUAGUC